rnacentral:misc_RNA from 1 species
UAAAAACUAGAAUGAAAGGUUAUACAUUCAAAUUUCUUUAUUAAUUUUUAAUAAAUAAUUUAUAUUAAAUAUAAAAAUAUAUUUAUAAAAAAAAAAGACGACAAGACCCUAUUAAAUUUUACUUAUAGUUUAGCUGGGGAAGCUUUUCAAUUAAAAUUUUUUAAAAUCUUAAAAUAAAUAUCUAAUUAAAAUUAAAAUUUAAAUAAAUUACUAUAGGGAUAACAGCAUUAUAUUUUUUAAAAGUUCAUAUUAAAAAAAAAUGAUUGUGACCUCGAUGUUGAAUUAUAUUUUCUAUAUUUAAUGCAAUAAUUAUAAAAGUAGAUCUGUUCGAUCUUUAAAAUAUUACAUGAUUUGAGUUCAAACCGGUGUAAACCAGGUUGGUUUCUAUCUUUUUAUAUAUAUUUUUCCAGUACGAAAGGACAAAAAAAUUUUUAUUUUAAUAAAUUAGCAAAUAAAUGCAUUAGAUUUAGAAUCUAAAUAUAUUUAAAUU